rnacentral:rRNA from 1 species
CCUAACACAUGCAAGUCGAGCGGUAACAGAUCUAGCUUGCUAGAUGCUGACGAGCGGCGGACGGGUGAGUAAUGCAUAGGAAUCUGCCCGGUAGUGGGGGAUAACCUGGGGAAACCCAGGCUAAUACCGCAUACGUCCUACGGGAGAAAGGGGGCUUCGGCUCCCGCUACGGGAUGAGCCUAUGUCGGAUUAGCUAGUUGGUGAGGUAAAGGCUCACCAAGGCUGCGAUCCGUAGCUGGUCUGAGAGGAUGAUCAGCCACAUCGGGACUGAGACACGGCCCGAACUCCUACGGGAGGCAGCAGUGGGGAAUAUUGGACAAUGGGGGGAACCCUGAUCCAGCCAUGCCGCGUGUGUGAAGAAGGCCUUCGGGUUGUAAAGCACUUUCAGCGAGGAAGAACGCCUAGCGGUUAAUACCCGUUAGGAAAGACAUCACUCGCAGAAGAAGCACCGGCUAACUCCGUGCCAGCAGCCGCGGUAAUACGGAGGGUGCAAGCGUUAAUCGGAAUUACUGGGCGUAAAGCGCGCGUAGGUGGCUUGAUAAGCCGGUUGUGAAAGCCCCGGGCUCAACCUGGGAACGGCAUCCGGAACUGUCAGGCUAGAGUGCAGGAGAGGAAGGUAGAAUUCCCGGUGUAGCGGUGAAAUGCGUAGAGAUCGGGAGGAAUACCAGUGGCGAAGGCGGCCUUCUGGACUGACACUGACACUGAGGUGCGAAAGCGUGGGUAGCAAACAGGAUUAGAUACCCUGGUAGU